AUCUUCUCGCGAUUACUUGCAAAAAUUGAUCAUUACAGAUGCAUAACGAGUGCGAAUUUUUAUCGGGAAUGUCGUAUAAAGUGACGGCCGUUUGUCAGAAGUGUCUAAAAAAUGACGGGCGUUUAUCAAGAGUGUUGAAUAAAGUUGCGGGCAUUUGCCGGAAUGUACAGCGCAAGUGUUCGGGAUUAUCGGUGUUUCGUUGCAAUUAUCUGGCGGCAAGAUCGUUCGUUCGAAAUUAUUUCAGUACGUGAUCACGUACUAGACGACUUUGUCGUGACCGUCAGGAUAACUAAAUCGUUUGUUUUGCUCGCUGUGUAAAUGUGUGUACAUUGUCGAACAGAUUGGAUGUGUAACGUUGUGCAUAAUUUGAUUAUACAAUAUUAUGCGUGUACGCGUUGUAGCACAAAGUGCUUUUAUCUCGCAUUUGCGUUUCGUGUAUCGUGACGUAGUAAAUUCGUGACGUAGCAAAUUCGUGACGUAGCAAAUUCGUGGCAUAGCAAAUUUGUGACAUAAAUUCAUAAUUUUUAAAAAUGAAGUGCGUGAGUUGAUUUUUGUUUGGUUAGCACAUAAGUGUGAGUUUUUCAUAUUUAUCAGAGGAGCACAGCUAAGAUAGAAUCUGCAGCGGAUAAAGUAAACUGCAAUACUCUAGCUGGUGCAGUUAAAGACACAUUUAGCUAGGGUACAACGACCGUUGGCGGAUGAUCAAAUGAGAGAUCUACGCGAUGAUGACGUCUCGGAAAUUAGCGCGACCGUGGAUAGAGAGAGAGAGAGAUGGAGAGAAAAGGGACGGAAAAAGGACGAAAACGUAACAAAAUUAGUAAUAUAAGACGAACUCGAGGUACAGCCAUGAAAAGCGAAACGCGCAUGGACUUCUGACGCUUAAGACGUAUUUUAAACAGAGUUUCAAUUGGAUUACCACGAGACCGCUUGCGUUCCGCCCUAAUCAUGAAUCAACAGCAUCUUGUGGAGAGAAACGUUGCAUCUCAGCGCUACAUUUAACUUUGAAGAUCUUGACCGCGAUUAACAUCGUUUGCGGAAAAUGAAAAAUAUUAAAUGGUCGGAGAUCAUCCGUCGCAUCGUGCCAGCACAAUUCUAGAAGAUGUAAUGUUAAACCACUAUACUGGCAGACAGUCGUCGAUCUUAUCAGCGUUGGCAUCCUGAGCAGGGUCAAUCACCACAGCGAGGCAGUAUCCGAUGAGGAAUG